UACGUAGGGGGCAAGCGUUGUCCGGAUUUAUUGGGCGUAAAGAGCGUGUAGGCGGCCAGGUAGGUCCGUUGUGAAAACUGGAGGCUUAACCUCCAGCUGUCGAUGGAAACCAUCUGGCUAGAGUCCGGAAGAGGAGAAUGGAAUUCCUGGUGUAGCGGUGAAAUGCGCAGAUAUCAGGAAGAACACCCGUGGCGAAGGCGGCUCUCUGGGACGUGACUGACGCUGAGACGCGAAAGCGUGGGGAGCAAACAGG
rnacentral:rRNA from 1 species